rnacentral:rRNA from 1 species
UACGAAGGGGGCUAGCGUUGUUCGGAUUUACUGGGCGUAAAGCGCACGUAGGCGGAUUCUUAAGUCAGGGGUGAAAUUCCGAGGCUCAACCUCGGAACUGCCUUUGAUACUGGGGAUCUCGAGUUCGGGAGAGGUGAGUGGAAUUGCGAGUGUAGAGGUGAAAUUCGUAGAUAUUCGCAAGAACACCAGUGGCGAAGGCGGCUCACUGGCCCGAUACUGACGCUGAGGUGCGAAAGCGUGGGGAGCAAACAGG